AACAUUUUGCUAUGUGGAAUAAGAUAGAAUUUCUGUACCUAUUCUCUCCAUGUGGUGUUGUUCUAUCGGUAUGUAUCUCUGUUUUUGGCUAUUUUCUUUUGCUAAUUUCCAGUUUUGCUUUGGGUUUUUGUUGUCGUUUAUAUUGCUCUUGUUGUUGUCGUUGGUGAUGGUGUUACAUUGUGAGGCUGUGAUGAUUGAGGUGUCUAGAUUUCAUGGGGUAACAGAGCUAUGCCCGUAUAUUGGCGAGGCAACCUAGAAGGCCUUAUUUGCAGAGCAACCGAAACUUUGCAGCCAUGUUUGAUGUAUUAUCUCAUUUGCCCUGAUUAUAGUAAUCUGAGCCUUUUUGGGUAAUUUAAUUUCUGUGCAUGUUUCAUAUACCAAACAUAGUAUAUGUGAUAAAGUGUAGCCACAAGGUCAUGGGUUCAUGUUUUAGAAACAAACUCUUGCAUGGGUAAGGCUGCGAAUAAUAGUCCCCUUGUGGUCCAACCCUUCUUAGGACUCAUGCAUAGUGAGAUUGAGUGCACUGGGCUAACUUUUUUUUUUUUUUUAAAGUAAAUGUGCUGUAGAUUGAAUUUUUCUUAUUUUUUAUCUACGUCGAGAAAAGGGUUGAUUUGAGUUUGUUUAGUUUCUUGGGGUAAAUGUGAUAAAGAUUUGAUUUUUAUUGAACUAUUUGGAGAAAAGGUUGAUCUUUAGAAGUGGGAUUGAUGCAGAGUUGGGUUAUUUCAUCUUCUUGGUAAAAAGUUUUGAUUGUUCUAUUUUCUUUUAUGCAGAACAAGUAUACAUGGAUGAUAUAGAAGAAAUUCUUGAUGAGUUCAUGAUAUCUCUAAAUAGUAAAGACAAUGAUGGCAGCCUUGAAGAGGUACAAUGCCAGCUCCUUGUCAGUGUAAUUUGUAUUAUUUUUGUUGGCCUUUUGGCUGUUAGAGUAGCUUAUAAUAUUAUGAGGAAUUAAGUCUUGUAGACAGUGAAUUAGGUGAAAUAGUUUUUAUACAUAUAGUUGUUUUUCCUAUUGCUAUAUAUUCACUAUAUCUUCGGCGAGGUCAUAAUUCAUCCGAUAUGUAACUGAAUUCUAUAACUCGAUUAGCUUGACUUUAGAAUGAACAAAGAGGGAAAUAAAAUAGUCCUACAGUGGACCAAGAAAAUAGAAUAGUGCUACAGUGAAGCCAAAGAGAAAACAAACUAUUACUGCGGCUUGAAAAAGGGCAGGUAUUUCAAUUUUCCAAUUUUUACUUAUAUGUUUUGUUGUAUUGUAAAGAUAAUACAUGAACUGAAGCAUAAUUCAAAAUAAAAUUAUAUCUCAGGACCAAUAUUCUCCCCACAGAACUGCAUUUUCAUAUUGUCUAUUAGAUAAAUGGCUUAUAAGGUUGAAGGAUCUAUUUAUAUGAAUUGAUCAUCAAAGGCUGACAAGAUUCAUUUCUUCAGUGGACUGGUACACUGUGCAUCUAAAGAUGUUGAGAUCAAAAAAUGUUUGUACAACAAUUCUUCUAAAAGUUUAGUCAUUCAUCAAUAAUUUAAGGUUAAAACACCCAUAUACAAGCAGCAACAACAACAACAACAAGCUCAGGCACGAUAACAACUUAACAACUCAGCCACAACUACUACACCUUCAAAGCAUGAAUCAAAGUAAUAGAUUUUGGGAAUAUCCAAUCUUCGUAUAGUAAAAGAGUAGGUAUACCACCACCUCACUCGCGAGUGCCUCCUAUUUCACCAUAUUCUCAGAUCCUUUUAAUCAGGCCAUGGAAUCAGCAAAUAGGUAUGCAGAAUUUUAGCAGUCCAGGGCAAUCACAUUUGCGAUCUUUAUAACAACCAGCUAUUCUUUUUUGAAGAAAUAGUUUGAUACACAAAACUGAUACAAUGUGAUUUAUAGUUGGAAACCAUCUAAUCAAUGUGUGUGGUUGCAUCCUUUGCUGUUUUUGCGAAACUCGACUUUCAUUCGUCAAGCAUUACAUUUCUAAUGUAAGGAUUCUCACACUCUUUUAUAGCCCAAUUUAGUGUAUAUUUUGAUGAUAUUGUUACUCAUGUCAUAAAGAGGAUAUGUAACAUUCAAUGCCUUAAUUUCACUUGAUUAAGAGCCGAACAACUUAUUAUAUUCCUUUUACUGUCUAGGCAGAGGACUUAGUGUAUGGAGGGUACUUUAAUGAAAUGGAUGUCUCGUGCAAUUUCAAAAAUUGGGUAUUUUAGCAUCUUGUGAUUUUAUUAUUUUCCCAACUUUUUUCCAUGGUCUGAGUCAUAUGUGCGUUAUAUGCAGGUUUUAUGUUGUUAUACUAAACAAUGUGAAUUAUCAUCGUGUAGUAGAUGAAAAGAUCCUGGUGGAUAUUUGCUGUAUCAAUUGUAGCGACUUGUGGGAUGUUUCAGUGUAUGUUCAGUUUUAAGUUAAUUUUCAUUGAUCUUUCGUGCUAUGUUUUGCCCGACCUAAAGAUCUACGACUCUUCUUUUUUCAAUUUGGGAAGAAGGGGUAAGGUGGUGGCCAUUUGGGAACGUGAAUGAAAGAGCAAGGAACUUAAUAAUCGUGCUUUCCAUUAGAAAUUUUAUUGUAGAAAUUUAUAUCCCCAUUUCGGCUGGGGUGUGAAGUUGGAAGACUAUAUAGUCGUAAAG
rnacentral:lncRNA from 1 species